GAACUGCGAUAAGUAAUGUGAAUUGCAGAAUUCAGUGAAUCAUCGAGUCUUUGAACGCACAUUGCGCCCCCUGGCAUUCCGGGGGGCAUGCCUGUCCGAGCGUCAUUGCUGCCCUCAAGCCCGGCUUGUGUGUUGGGUCGUCGUCCCCCCCGGGGGACGGGCCCGAAAGGCAGCGGCGGCACCGUGUCCGGUCCUCGAGCGUAUGGGACUUUGUCACCCGCUCGAUUAGGGCCGGCCGGGCGCCAGCCGGCGUCUCCAACCUUAUUUUUCUCAGGUUGACCUCGGAUCAGGUAGGGAUACCCGCUGAACUUAAGC
rnacentral:misc_RNA from 1 species